AGGGUUUGCAACUCCAUGAAGGUCUUAUAGUUCAUGACAUGCUCUCUCGGGUUACCAGCUCCGUUAUAGGCCGCCAUCGGCGGCAUCAUAAACUUCUUGGGAACGGUCUCCUGCUGCACUAUCUUUGAGAAGGGAGAAGAAGUGGGCAAGGAGGUUUGGCUCUGAUCUUUCUUACCUAGCUCGGCUAAGAGCUGCUCUUUCAACCUUUUCAGCUUUUGGUUCAUUUUCUCGUCUUCCGGGCUGGAUCCUUUGCCCCAGCUGUAUUCCUCCUCCUCUAUUUCAGUUCCCGUUUCCCUGGUUGUUCCGGCAGAAUAGUUGUCCGCCUCCUCAUUUUCUAUCAACUCUCUUGCCCUUCUCCCAUGGAUUCG
rnacentral:lncRNA from 1 species